rnacentral:lncRNA from 10 species
CCUAGAUCCAGCCAGAGAAAGACCUGUUCUAAUUCAGAUCCUGUUCUCAAGAUGCAAUGGAAAUGAUGUCUGAUGACGGUGGUUGGACCAACAUCCAGUGUCCAGCUGGAUAUCUUUUCUACCAAAUCAGAUCUGCAGGAAACAGACUCUUGGACGAUAGACAUCACCAGCAAAGACCCUUCUGAGCAAAUGUGUACUGGAGACCUCCUGAGGAAUCCACUGGAGCCUGCGCAUCCCCUUUUCCUAGCAAGGCCAACUAGAAAACUUUCAACCGAGAACUAUCAUGAACAGGUAAAAUGUGUUGACUAGCAAACAAAUAAAGGAGGCGAGCUGUGGAUUUUGGAAAAAAUUGGUAUGUUGCAAGCAUAGAAGGCCU